AUUGAACAUGGAAAAUGAUAGUGCGAGUGGGGCAUCCGUGUACUUUGGACACAUUCUUGUUUUAGUUCAUGUUAAUUAAGUUUAUAACAGUUUAUUAUUAUUACUAGUUUACUUAAAGGCACACAUUGUAUGCAACAAGAGCAACACAAUAUAGUAUACAAAAUGAUAAAUUGGUCAAUAAAUAUGACAAGAGAAGAAAAAACACAACCCUUUUAUCACUAGGGGUGGGAAAGAGGUUUUAAGUAUUUGUGAAAUAUGGUCAGGAUAGUACUAGCAUAGGACAAAAAAUUUCCAGAUAGAUAUAGUAUUAGUAUAGUGUUUAUGUACUUUGCAUUGAAGCUAAUAUUGACCUGGUUUUACGAAUCAGGUUUGUCAGUUCUGUUCCGCUUACACUUUUCCAUUGUUUUGAUGUCAGACUAUUUCAUGGGCAAAAACUCAAUCAAUACUUAUAAGUGUCAUAUUUUAUGCUUCAGUCAGAAAUGAGAAUUAUAUUUAUUGUUGCUUUAAGGGUAUAAUAUGUGUUAGGAUUAUGUUUUCUAUUAAAGAUUUGGGAGUGAUGUUUAAUGAGUAUUUCUGAUGGUAUAUAUGCUACGUAUAAAUUAAAUUUUUAGUUGCCUUUUCAAUAAAGCAAUCAUUUACUAUUAUGAAGUUUUUGUGUUUGUUGCCAAUCUCAAAUGGUUUUAACAGCAAAAGCAGAACAGUAGUAAAAAAAAACAAAUUGACCACAGCAAGUAUUCUAGUAAUUAAAGUAAUAAGUAAAAAGCUGCUUUG
rnacentral:lncRNA from 1 species